rnacentral:sRNA from 12 species
AACCUGUAUUCCGAACUGUCACCGGAUGGUGGCGUGGCCAAGACAUUGGUCUAGGAACGUGGUUGGAA